rnacentral:rRNA from 1 species
ACGGGGCGCAGCAGGCGCGAAACCUGCACAAUGUGGGAAACCACGAUGCGGGAACUCCAAGUGCCUACACUAUGUGUAGGCUGUUCUCGAGCCUAAAAAGCUCGAGAAGUAAGGGCCGGGUAAGACGGGUGCCAGCCGCCGCGGUAAUACCCGCGGCCCGAGUGGUGCUCAUUAUUAUUGAGCCUAAAGCGUCCGUAGCUGGCCGGGCAAAUCUCCGGGGAAAUCGGGCCGCUCAACGGUCCGAAGGCCGGAGACACUGCUCGGCUUGGGAUCGGGAGAGGGUGAAGGUACUCCCGGGGUAGGGGUAAAAUCCUGUAAUCCGGGGGGGACCACCAGUGGCGAAGGCGUUCACCUAGAACGAGUCCGACAGUGAGGGACGAAGCCCUAGGGCGCAAACGGGAUUAGAUACCCCGGUAGUCUAGGGUGUAAACGCUGCAGACUUGGUGUUGGGGGUCCUGCGUGGGCUCCCAGUGCCGGAGCGAAGGUGUUGAGUCUGCCGCUUGGGGAGUACGGUCGCAAGACUGAAACUUAAAGGAAUUGGCGGGAGAGCACCGCAACGGGAGGAGCGUGCGGUUCAAUUGGAUUCAACGCCGGAAAACUCACCGGGGGCGACGGAGGGAUGAAAGCCAGGCCGAAGACCUUGCCCGAUCCUCCGAGAGGUGGUGCAUGGCCGUCGUCAGUUCGUACCGUAAGGCGUUCUGUUAAGUCAGAUAACGAACGAGACCCUCGCCUUUAGUCGCUAUUUCACGAGCGGUCGUGAGAGCACACUGAAGGGAUCGCUGCCGCUAAGGCAGAGGAAGGAGAGGUCUACGGUAGGUCCGUAUGCCCCGAAUCUCCCGGGCAACACGCGCGCUACAAAGGUGGGGACAAUGGGAACCGACCUCGAAAGGGGGAGGCAAUCCUGAAACCCCAUCGUAGUCUGGAUCGAGGGCUGUAACUCGCCCUCGUGAAAAUGGAUUCCGUAGUAAUCGCGGGUCAACAUCCCGCGGUGAAUGUGCCCCUGCUCUUUGCACACACCGCCCGUCAAGUCAUCCGAGUUGGGUCGGAGUGAGGGUGGCUCAUUUGGGUCGCUCGAACUUCGGUUCAGCAAGGGGGACUAAGUCGUAACAAGGUAGCCGUA